GGCCUUAUAGCUCCAACGUGCGCUGUACAAAAGCGUAAGCGGUAUCCAUGUGUGGGUUCGAAUCCCACUGAGGCUA
rnacentral:tRNA from 1 species